UACGGGGGGGGCAAGCGUUGUUCGGAAUUACUGGGCGUAAAGGGCUCGUAGGCGGCCAACUAAGCAUACGUGAAAUCCCUCGGCUUAACCGGGGGAACUGCGUCUGAUACUGGAUGGCUUGAGAUUGGGGAGAGGGAUGCGGGAAUUCCAGGUGUAGCGGGUGAAAAUGCGUAGAUAUCUGGAGGAAACACCGGUGGCGAAGGCGGCAUCC
rnacentral:rRNA from 1 species